GGUUGACAAGUGGAACGAGCAGAGGGAGAGUGGAACUUUUCCAGGUCCUCUUUGAACCAAG
rnacentral:sRNA from 1 species